UAAAGCAUGCAAAAUGUAUUUCAGGUUCA
rnacentral:piRNA from 1 species